CACAUGCAAGUCGAACGGAAAGGCCCUUCGGGGUACUCGAGUGGCGAACGGGUGAGUAACACGUGGGUGAUCUGCCCUGCACUUUGGGAUAAGCCUGGGAAACUGGGUCUAAUACCGAAUAGGACCACGCGCUUCAUGGUGUGUGGUGGAAAGCUUUUGCGGUGUGGGAUGGGCCCGCGGCCUAUCAGCUUGUUGGUGGGGUAAUGGCCUACCAAGGCGACGACGGGUAGCCGGCCUGAGAGGGUGACCGGCCACACUGGGACUGAGAUACGGCCCAGACUCCUACGGGAGGCAGCAGUGGGGAAUAUUGCACAAUGGGCGCAAGCCUGAUGCAGCGACGCCGCGUGAGGGAUGACGGCCUUCGGGUUGUAAACCUCUUUCAAUAGGGACGAAGCGCAAGUGACGGUACCUAUAGAAGAAGCACCGGCCAACUACGUGCCAGCAGCCGCGGUAAUACGUAGGGUGCGAGCGUUGUCCGGAAUUACUGGGCGUAAAGAGCUCGUAGGUGGUUUGUCGCGUUGUUCGUGAAAACUCACAGCUUAACUGUGGGCGUGCGGGCGAUACGGGCAGACUAGAGUACUGCAGGGGAGACUGGAAUUCCUGGUGUAGCGGUGGAAUGCGCAGAUAUCAGGAGGAACACCGGUGGCGAAGGCGGGUCUCUGGGCAGUAACUGACGCUGAGGAGCGAAAGCGUGGGGAGCGAACAGGAUUAGAUACCCUGGUAGUCCACGCCGUAAACGGUGGGUACUAGGUGUGGGUUCCUUCCUUGGGAUCCGUGCCGUAGCUAACGCAUUAAGUACCCCGCCUGGGGAGUACGGCCGCAAGGCUAAAACUCAAAGGAAUUGACGGGGGCCCGCACAAGCGGCGGAGCAUGUGGAUUAAUUCGAUGCAACGCGAAGAACCUUACCUGGGUUUGACAUGCACAGGACGCCGGCAGAGAUGUCGGUUCCCUUGUGGCCUGUGUGCAGGUGGUGCAUGGCUGUCGUCAGCUCGUGUCGUGAGAUGUUGGGUUAAGUCCCGCAACGAGCGCAACCCUUGUCCUAUGUUGCCAGCGGGUUAUGCCGGGGACUCGUAGGAGACUGCCGGGGUCAACUCGGAGGAAGGUGGGGAUGACGUCAAGUCAUCAUGCCCCUUAUGUCCAGGGCUUCACACAUGCUACAAUGGCCGGUACAAAGGGCUGCGAUGCCGUGAGGUGGAGCGAAUCCUUUCAAAGCCGGUCUCAGUUCGGAUCGGGGUCUGCAACUCGACCCCGUGAAGUCGGAGUCGCUAGUAAUCGCAGAUCAGCAACGCUGCGGUGAAUACGUUCCCGGGCCUUGUACACACCGCCCGUCACGUCAUGAAAGUCGGUAACACCCGAAGCCGGUGGCCUAACCCUUGUGGAGGGAGCCGUCGAAGGUGGGAU
rnacentral:rRNA from 2 species